rnacentral:rRNA from 1 species
UACAGAGGGGGCAAGCGUUGUUCGGAAUUACUGGGCGUAAAGGGCGCGUAGGCGGCCUUCUAAGUCGAACGUGAAAUCCCCGGGCUCAACCCGGGAACUGCGUCCGAUACUGGAAGGCUUGAAUCCGGGAGAGGGAUGUGGAAUUCCAGGUGUAGCGGUGAAAUGCGUAGAGAUCAGGAGGAACACCCAUGGCGAAGGCAACUCUCUGGCUUCACCCUGACGCUGAGGCGCGAAAGCGUGGGGAGCGAACGGG